ACAUUUUACAAACAUAAUUUUACAAACAUAAUUUGUAUAUCUUUAUCUCUCCUCCCCCUUCUUUCCUGUUCCUUUUGUGUCUGGAAUAUUAUAGAAUAUCACCUUUAAGCAUCAGAUUAAACUAAGAAGAACAUCAUUAGUUUAGUGGGAUGAGGAGACGCUUCUUUCUUCCUGAUGAUUGGAAGUAGUACUAAAUCCAGAAAACUCAAAUGACCUCCCAGGGAACAAGGAAGAAUUUUCACUUCAAAUAUUGUCUGUGGUAUGUAGAGAAUAUCAAAUACUUUAGGUAAAGCAAGAUUAUGAAAAGAAAAAUGAAGUGGGAAAAAAAAAAAUGAAGUGGGAUUUCCCCAUACACUUUUGGCAGACGGGAAGCAACAAGCUUCAUUUGCAGCUAAUGAGAUAUUACCUAGUGGUAGAAGCCAAAUUCUAACCAAUACCAAGAACUCUCCAGGGAACAGUAACUUGAAUUGGAAUAAAGGUCAAGCUAUUUACAAGAAUGUAAAUGUGAAGGUGUCUGCUCAUUUUAUUUUAUGGACCCGUUCAAAAAUAGCCUUGGGAAAGAGAACAGAAGAUUAAAUCAAAAUGAGAAAAUCCAUUCAGGUGAUCAAAGAAAAUGUCAAACAUGGUAAAAAUUUUGAGUUAAGAUCAUCAGCACACUUCAAAGACUUCUGACUAUGGCAUUAUCACAAGAAAGUAAGUGCCCAGCAAACUGUUAUCAAAAUCACUGAUCAGGUCUGAGAAGAAAGUAAUUGUGCUACAUAUUAAAAUUUGUGAUAGA
rnacentral:lncRNA from 1 species